rnacentral:lncRNA from 1 species
CAGUUUCUUAUCACGUAACCUUUCAAUGGUGUCCUUAUCAUCCCUUAAGUCCAGCUUGGUGCCCACCAAGAUGAUAGGUGUAUUUGGGCAGUGGUGUCGGACCUCAGGGUACCACUUGGCUCUGACAUUCUCAAAGGAGGCUGGACUCACGAGGGAGAAGCAAAUCAAGAAAACAUCUGUCUGUGGGUAGGAAAGAGGCCGCAGUCGGUCAUAAUCCUCUUGUCCUGCUGUAUCCCAGAGGCCUAGAUUCACUGGCUUCCCAUCUACCAUGACAUUGGCAGAAUAGUUAUCAAAUACAGUGGGGAUGUACUCUCCAGGAAAGGCAUUCGUGGUGUAACUGAUCAGCAAGCAGGUCUUCCCUACAGCUCCGUCGCCCACCACCACACACUUGAUCGCCUGCAUCUGCCCGCGAUGGCGGCGCCGCCGCGACUCCGCCGCAGUGACAGCCCGCGCGGGCGGGGCGGGGCGAGCCGAGC